GGAAAUGCAUUGUCCGUGAAACAACGAAAGCGCAUCGUCCCUCCCAGGAGUCAAAAGGAAGGAACCCGCGCACACACGCAACAUGUGUUAUCUGAAAGUUUUCCUAGGAAUAUUUGAACAUGCACUUCAAGGUGCGGAAGGCUAUAAUUUGGAAUACGAGGACUCCCAUGAAACCACCACAGAUAACAACGAAGGCACCGCUCAGACAGCGGCACCAAGGCUGAAGAGACCUACAAACACCACAGGCGACUUCGAAAAAAUUGACUGAGUGAUCUACAGCACAGAUUGCACCCAUAAUCCCGGCGUGUGCAAGAACUGACAAAAUGAAACAUUUGGAGGGAAUAUAAAUUCUGGAAAAUAAAAUUUAUCACG
rnacentral:lncRNA from 1 species